rnacentral:rRNA from 1 species
UACGGGGGGGGCAAGCGUUGUUCGGAAUUAUUGGGCGUAAAGGGCGCGUAGGCGGCCUGUUAAGUCGAACGUGAAAUCCCCGGGCUCAACCUGGGAAUGGCAUUUGGGACUGCAAGGCUGGAGUACGGCAGAGGAGACUGGAAUUCCUGGUGUAGCAGUGAAAUGCGUAGAGAUCAGGAGGAACACCGGUGGCGAAGGCGGGACUCUGGGCCGAUACUGACGCUGAGGAGCGAAAGCGUGGGGGAGCAAACAGG